GACGAACGCUGGCGGCGUGCUUAACACAUGCAAGUCGAACGGAAAGGCCCUGCUUGCAGGGUACUCGAGUGGCGAACGGGUGAGUAACACGUGGGUGAUCUGCCCUGCACUUCGGGAUAAGCCUGGGAAACUGGGUCUAAUACCGGAUAGGAGCCAUUUUUAGUGUGAUGGUUGGAAAGUUUUUUCGGUGUAGGAUGAGCUCGCGGCCUAUCAGCUUGUUGGUGGGGUAAUGGCCUACCAAGGCGGCGACGGGUAGUCGGCCUGAGGGGGUGGACGGCCACAUUGGGACUGAGAUACGGCCCAGACUCCUACGGGAGGCAGCAGUGGGGAAUAUUGCACAAUGGGCGCAAGCCUGAUGCAGCGACGCCGCGUGGGGGAUGACGGCCUUCGGGUUGUAAACUCCUUUCGCUAGGGACGAAGCUUUUUGUGACGGUACCUAGAUAAGAAGCACCGGCUAACUACGUG
rnacentral:rRNA from 1 species